GACGAACGCUGGCGGCGUGCUUAACACAUGCAAGUCGUACGGUAAGGCCCUUUCGGGGGUACACGAGUGGCGAACGGGUGAGUAACACGUGAGUAACCUGCCCACAACUUUGGGAUAACGCUAGGAAACUGGUGCUAAUACUGGAUAUGUGCUCCUGCUGCAUGGUGGGGGUUGGAAAGCUCCGGCGGUUGUGGAUGGACUCGCGGCCUAUCAGCUUGUUGGUGGGGUAGUGGCCUACCAAGGCGGCGACGGGUAGCCGGCCUGAGAGGGUGACCGGCCACAUUGGGACUGAGAGACGGCCCAGACUCCUACGGGAGGCAGCAGUGGGGAAUAUUGCACAAUGGGCGCAAGCCUGAUGCAGCAACGCCGCGGGCGGGAUGACGGCCUUCGGGUUGAAAACCGCUUUCAGCAGGGACGAAGCUUUUUGUGACGGUACCUGCAGAAGAAGCACCGGCUAACUACGUG
rnacentral:rRNA from 1 species